rnacentral:rRNA from 1 species
UAUGUAGGCAGCGAGCGUUGUUCGGAAUUACUGGGCGUAAAGAGUGUGUAGGCGGUGCUCCCAGUCUGUUGUGAAAUCUCCCGGCUUAACUGGGAGGGUGCAGCGGAAACUAGAGUGCUAGAGGGUGGGAGAGGUAAGCGGAAUUCCUGGUGUAGCGGUGAAAUGCGUAGAUAUCAGGAGGAACACCUGUGGUGUAGACAGCUUACUGGACCACUUCUGGCGCUGAGACACGAAAGCGUGGGUAGCAAACAGG